UCAGACGAUGCGUCAUGCAUAUCAAUAAGCGGAGGAAAGAAACUAACAAGGAUUCCCUUAGUAACGGCGAGUGAAGCGGGAAGAGCUCAAAUUUGAAAUCUUCAAGGUUUUACCUUGACGAAUUGUAGUUUAAAGAAGUGUUUUCUGCUGAAGUUUUGGUAAAAGUUCUUUGGAAUAGGACAUCAUAGAGGGUGAGAAUCCCGUAUUUGACCAUUAUUUUCAGCUUUGUGAUACACUUUCGAAGAGUCGGAUUGUUUGGGAAUGCAGUCCAAAAUGGGUGGUAAAUUUCAUCUAAAGCUAAAUAUUGGCGAGAGACCGAUAGCGAACAAGUACCGUGAGGGAAAGAUGAAAAGAACUUUGAAAAGAGAGUUAAACAGUACGUGAAAUUGUCAAAAGGGAAGCGUUUGACACCAGUGUUGUUUUCUCGAAAAUCAAUUAAAAAUGGCUCGAUUUUGUAUUGUUUGAGACCUUAAAAGCUCACUGUACAUUUUUCGUGUCUUUUUUAAUGCACUUUUCGUUUAACAAGUCAACAUCAGUUUCUUUUGUUGUAAAAGGGUCAUUGGAAGGUGGCUUUCUUUUCGGAGAAAGUGUUUAUAGCCUUUGGCCUCUGCAAUCGGAGAGACUGAGGUCUGCAGCGUAGACUCUUCGGGGUUAGAUACAUUUGUGCUAAGUUAUAGCUUUUUAUAGACAACUUGUUGACUAUAAUUAGUCUUGUAGCUUACUCGCUUAUGCUAUUUUACCUACGCUUAGGAUGUUGACUGAUAUGUAGUCGUA
rnacentral:rRNA from 1 species